GAUGAACGCUAGCGGGAGGCCUAACACAUGCAAGCCGAGCGGUAUUUGUUCUUCGGAACAGAGAGAGCGGCGCACGGGUGCGGAACACGUGUGCAACCUGCCUUUAUCUGGGGGAUAGCCUUUCGAAAGGAAGAUUAAUACCCCAUAAUAUAUUGAGUGGCAUCACUUGAUAUUGAAAACUCCGGUGGAUAGAGACGGGCACGCGCAAGAUUAGUUAGUUGGUGAGGUAACGGCUCACCAAGUCAAUGAUCUUUAGGGGGCCUGAGAGGGUGAUCCCCCACACUGGUACUGAGACACGGACCAGACUCCUACGGGAGGCAGCAGUGAGGAAUAUUGGACAAUGGGUUAGCGCCUGAUCCAGCCAUCCCGCGUGAAGGACGACGGCCCUAUGGGUUGUAAACCUCUUUUGUAUAGGGAUAAACCUACUCUCGCGAGAGUAGCUGAAGGUACUAUACGAAUAAGCACCGGCUAACUCCGUG
rnacentral:rRNA from 1 species